GGAGGUAGUGACAAUAAAUCACAAUGCGGGACUAUCAGUCUUGCAAUUGGAUUGAGAACAAUGUACAACUCUUAUCGAUAAGCCAUUGGAGGGCAAGUCUGGUGCCAGCAGCCGCGGUAAUUCCAGCUCCAAUAGCGUAUAUUAACGUUGUUGCAGUUAAAAAGCUCGUAGUUGAAGUGUGGGUGGUGCCAUCUGUGAAGCUUCGGCUUCUAGGAUACUCACUACCCCCUUCCAGUAUCCAGUAGUGGGUAUUCAGUUACUUACUAUUGUGUGUUGGUCGUUUACUGUGAGAAAAUUAGAGUGUUCAAAGCAGGCGUUUGCUUGAAUAGAUUAGCAUGGAAUAAUAAUUGAAGGCUUUCGUGUUCGAUUUGAUUGGUUUGUUCAUGGAAGCAAGGUUAAAAGGAACAGUUGGGGGUAUUCAUAUUCACUAGUUAGAGGUGAAAUUCUCGGAUUUAUGGAAGAUGAACAAGUGCGAAAGCA
rnacentral:rRNA from 1 species